GAUAUGGCUCAGGACGAACGCUGGCGGCGUGCUUAACACAUGCAAGUCGAACGAGAAUCUGUGGAUCGAGGAUUCGUCCAAGUGAAGCAGAGGACAGUGGCGGACGGGUGAGUAACGCGUGAGGAACCUGCCUUUCAGAGGGGGACAACAGUUGGAAACGACUGCUAAUACCGCAUGAUACAUUUGGGUGGCAUCAUCUGAAUGUCAAAGAUUUAUCGCUGAAAGAUGG
rnacentral:rRNA from 1 species